rnacentral:rRNA from 1 species
GGGUUGUGAGGUUAAGCGACUAAGCGUACACGGUGGAUGCCCUGGCAGUCAGAGGCGAUGAAGGACGUGCUAAUCUGCGAUAAGCGUCGGUAAGGUGAUAUGAACCGUUAUAACCGGCGAUUUCCGAAUGGGGAAACCCAGUGUGAUUCGUCACACUAUCAUUAACUGAAUCCAUAGGUUAAUGAGGCGAACCGGGGGAACUGAAACAUCUAAGUACCCCGAGGAAAAGAAAUCAACCGAGAUUCCCCCAGUAGCGGCGAGCGAACGGGGAGCAGCCCAGAGCCUGAAUCAGUGUGUGUGUUAGUGGAAGCGUCUGGAAAGGCGUGCGAUACAGGGUGACAGCCCCGUACACAAAAAUGCACAUGCUGUGAGCUCGAUGAGUAGGGCGGGACACGUGGUAUCCUGUCUGAAUAUGGGGGGACCAUCCUCCAAGGCUAAAUACUCCUGACUGACCGAUAGUGAACCAGUACCGUGAGGGAAAGGCGAAAAGAACCCCGGCGAGGGGAGUGAAAAAGAACCUGAAACCGUGUACGUACAAGCAGUGGGAGCACGCUUAGGCGUGUGACUGCGUACCUUUUGUAUAAUGGGUCAGCGACUUAUAUUCUGUAGCAAGGUUAACCGAAUAGGGGAGCCGAAGGGAAACCGAGUCUUAACUGGGCGUUAAGUUGCAGGGUAUAGACCCGAAACCCGGUGAUCUAGCCAUGGGCAGGUUGAAGGUUGGGUAACACUAACUGGAGGACCGAACCGACUAAUGUUGAAAAAUUAGCGGAUGACUUGUGGCUGGGGGUGAAAGGCCAAUCAAACCGGGAGAUAGCUGGUUCUCCCCGAAAGCUAUUUAGGUAGCGCCUCGUGAAUUCAUCUCCGGGGGUAGAGCACUGUUUCGGCAAGGGGGUCAUCCCGACUUACCAACCCGAUGCAAACUGCGAAUACCGGAGAAUGUUAUCACGGGAGACACACGGCGGGUGCUAACGUCCGUCGUGAAGAGGGAAACAACCCAGACCGCCAGCUAAGGUCCCAAAGUCAUGGUUAAGUGGGAAACGAUGUGGGAAGGCCCAGACAGCCAGGAUGUUGGCUUAGAAGCAGCCAUCAUUUAAAGAAAGCGUAAUAGCUCACUGGUCGAGUCGGCCUGCGCGGAAGAUGUAACGGGGCUAAACCAUGCACCGAAGCUGCGGCAGCGACGCUUAUGCGUUGUUGGGUAGGGGAGCGUUCUGUAAGCCUGCGAAGGUGUGCUGUGAGGCAUGCUGGAGGUAUCAGAAGUGCGAAUGCUGACAUAAGUAACGAUAAAGCGGGUGAAAAGCCCGCUCGCCGGAAGACCAAGGGUUCCUGUCCAACGUUAAUCGGGGCAGGGUGAGUCGACCCCUAAGGCGAGGCCGAAAGGCGUAGUCGAUGGGAAACAGGUUAAUAUUCCUGUACUUGGUGUUACUGCGAAGGGGGGACGGAGAAGGCUAUGUUGGCCGGGCGACGGUUGUCCCGGUUUAAGCGUGUAGGCUGGUUUUCCAGGCAAAUCCGGAAAAUCAAGGCUGAGGCGUGAUGACGAGGCACUACGGUGCUGAAGCAACAAAUGCCCUGCUUCCAGGAAAAGCCUCUAAGCAUCAGGUAACAUCAAAUCGUACCCCAAACCGACACAGGUGGUCAGGUAGAGAAUACCAAGGCGCUUGAGAGAACUCGGGUGAAGGAACUAGGCAAAAUGGUGCCGUAACUUCGGGAGAAGGCACGCUGAUAUGUAGGUGAAGCGACUUGCUCGUGGAGCUGAAAUCAGUCGAAGAUACCAGCUGGCUGCAACUGUUUAUUAAAAACACAGCACUGUGCAAACACGAAAGUGGACGUAUACGGUGUGACGCCUGCCCGGUGCCGGAAGGUUAAUUGAUGGGGUCAGCGCAAGCGAAGCUCUUGAUCGAAGCCCCGGUAAACGGCGGCCGUAACUAUAACGGUCCUAAGGUAGCGAAAUUCCUUGUCGGGUAAGUUCCGACCUGCACGAAUGGCGUAAUGAUGGCCAGGCUGUCUCCACCCGAGACUCAGUGAAAUUGAACUCGCUGUGAAGAUGCAGUGUACCCGCGGCAAGACGGAAAGACCCCGUGAACCUUUACUAUAGCUUGACACUGAACAUUGAGCCUUGAUGUGUAGGAUAGGUGGGAGGCUUUGAAGUGUGGACGCCAGUCUGCAUGGAGCCGACCUUGAAAUACCACCCUUUAAUGUUUGAUGUUCUAACGUUGACCCGUAAUCCGGGUUGCGGACAGUGUCUGGUGGGUAGUUUGACUGGGGCGGUCUCCUCCUAAAGAGUAACGGAGGAGCACGAAGGUUGGCUAAUCCUGGUCGGACAUCAGGAGGUUAGUGCAAUGGCAUAAGCCAGCUUGACUGCGAGCGUGACGGCGCGAGCAGGUGCGAAAGCAGGUCAUAGUGAUCCGGUGGUUCUGAAUGGAAGGGCCAUCGCUCAACGGAUAAAAGGUACUCCGGGGAUAACAGGCUGAUACCGCCCAAGAGUUCAUAUCGACGGCGGUGUUUGGCACCUCGAUGUCGGCUCAUCACAUCCUGGGGCUGAAGUAGGUCCCAAGGGUAUGGCUGUUCGCCAUUUAAAGUGGUACGCGAGCUGGGUUUAGAACGUCGUGAGACAGUUCGGUCCCUAUCUGCCGUGGGCGCUGGAGAACUGAGGGGGGCUGCUCCUAGUACGAGAGGACCGGAGUGGACGCAUCACUGGUGUUCGGGUUGUCAUGCCAAUGGCACUGCCCGGUAGCUAAAUGCGGAAGAGAUAAGUGCUGAAAGCAUCUAAGCACGAAACUUGCCCCGAGAUGAGUUCUCCCUGACUCCUUGAGAGUCCUGAAGGAACGUUGAAGACGACGACGUUGAUAGGCCGGGUGUGUAAGCGCAGCGAUGCGUUGAGCUAACCGGUACUAAUGAACCGUGAGGCUUAACCUUACAACGCCGAAGCUGUU